rnacentral:rRNA from 1 species
GCAACCUGGUUGAUCCUGCCAGUAGUCAUAUGCUUGUCUCAAAGAUUAAGCCAUGCACGUCUAAGUAUAAAUGGUAUACAAUGAAACUGCGAAUGGCUCAUUAAAACAGUUAUAGUUUAUUUGGUAAUCAAACUUACAUGGAUAACCGUGGUAAUUCUAGAGCUAAUACAUGCUGUUGUGCCCGACUCGCGAAG